GACGAACGCUGGCGGCGUGCCUAAUACAUGCAAGUCGAGCGAACAGACGAGGAGCUUGCUCCUUGGACGUUUGCGGCGGACGGGUGAGUAACACGUGUAUAACCCCCCUAUAAGACUGGGAUAAUUUCGGGAAUCCGGCGCUUAUACCGGAGAAUAUACUGAACCGCAGGGUUGAAUAGUGAAAGUCGGUUUUGCGGGCACUUAUCGAUGCAUCUCGGCCGCAUUAGCUAGUUGGGCGGGUAACGGCUUACCAAGGCAACGAGGCGUAGCCGACCUGAGAGGCGGAUAGCCCACACGGGAAGUGGAACGCGCACCAGGCUCCUACGGGAGGCCGCAGUAGGGAACGUGCCGCAAUAGGCGAGAACCUGGCGGAGCAGGGCCACGCGAGAGAUGAAGGUCUUCGGAGCGUAAAACUCUGUUAUUAGGGAAGAACAAAUGUGUAAGUAACUAUGCACGGAUUGACGGUACCUAGUCAGAAAGCAACGGCUAACUACGUG
rnacentral:rRNA from 1 species